rnacentral:rRNA from 1 species
GACGAAGGGGGCUAGCGUUGUUCGGAAUUACUGGGCGUAAAGCGCGUGUAGGCGGCUGUCCAAGUUGGAUGUGAAAGCCUUGAGCUCAACUCAAGAAAUGCAUUCAGGACUGGAUGACUAGAGGACCGGAGAGGAUAGUGGAAUUCCCAGUGUAGUGGUGAAAUACGUAGAGAUUGGGAAGGACACCAGUGGCGAAGGCGGCUAUCUGGACGGUUUCUGACGCUAAGACGCGAAAGCGUGGGGAGCAAACAGG